GGCCUAUUCUGAGCUUGGAACAGAACGACCCCGUACCAAGUCAGAACACUUGAAACAUUCUGAGCACUAUUUUGGACUGGAAAAUGGCACUCUUCUGGCCUCUGUGCAUUUGCAAGGUCAGCACCACCACACAAAUGGCUUCCACGCAUGUGCAGAGGCUAAAAGAGCACAAUUUUGGAGUCAAAAAUUGUGCUUAGAACGUUCCGACUUGGAACGGCGUCGCUCUGUCGGAACAACCGGCUCAACCAGUUGUUCAGAUGGAACAAUUGGGUAUUUGCAUUCUGUUCUGAGUUCAGAAUAGAACGUAAAUGCCAUUAUGUGCACAUCCCUGUUUUCCAGUAUUGAUAGCAACUUGUUUGGGGGCAAAUGUUAAAGAGCUCAUUAAUCACCCCUUCCUGAAGAAACCAUAGUACCUGAAGCAAGAAACCAUAGUACCUGAAGUAGGGCUAUUCUUGGAGGUAGGCGAGGAGGAAGAGUCAGAAGGAGAAGGAGGAGGAAGAUACCUCCUUGAGCCUAGAGUGUUUCUUAGAAGGUUUUGGCUGCUUAGGCUGAUGCUAUGAUUUAUCUAGAAAGCCAUGGAACCAGCACUGCCAUGCCACAGGCACCUCCCUUGGGAAGCAGAGGAAGAGGAACUGCCACUAUCCAACCCUACUACAACAUCCUUCAAGUGGCCGUUGCUGAUGUCUACCUUCUGUUUCUUCUUAGAUUGCCAACGCUUUUGGGACAGGGAGCAAUCUUUAUUCAUUUAUUAUUCUUUUUCCAAUAAACUGAUUUGAGAUCUUUUGUUGAGAA